UACAGAGGUCCCGAGCGUUGUUCGGAUUCACUGGGCGUAAAGGGUGCGUAGGCGGUUGGGUAAGUUUGACGUGAAAUCUCCGGGCCUAACCCGGAAACUGCGUUGAAUACUAUCCGGCUAGAGGAAUGGAGGGGAGACUGGAAUACUUGGUGUAGCAGUGAAAUGCGUAGAUAUCAAGUGGAACACCAGUGGCGAAGGCGAGUCUCUGGACAUUUCCUGACGCUGAGGCACGAAAGCCAGGGGAG
rnacentral:rRNA from 1 species